GAUGAACGCUGGCGGCGUGCCUAAUACAUGCAAGUCGAGCGAACCACUUCGGUGGUGAGCGGCGAACGGGUGAGUAACACGUAGGUGAUCUGACCAUCAGACGGGGACAACGAUUGGAAACGAUCGCUAAUACCGGAUAGGACGAAAGUUUAAAGGUGCUUCUGGCACCGCUGAUGGAUGAGCCUGCGGCGCAUUAGUUAGUUGGUAGGGUAAAGGCCUACCAAGGCGACGAUGCGUAGGCGACCUGAGAGGGUGAACGGCCACACGGGGACUGGGACACGGCCCAGACUCCUACGGGAGGCAGUAGUAGGGAAUCUUCGGCAAGGGGAGAAAGCCUGACCGAGCAACGCCGCGUGAAUGAUGAAGGCCUUCGGGUUGUAAAAUUCUGUUAUAAGGGAAGAACGACUUUAGUAGGAAAUGGCUAGAGUGUGACGGUACCUUAUGAGAAAGCCACGGCUAACUACGUGCCAGCAGCCGCCGUAACAC
rnacentral:rRNA from 1 species